rnacentral:lncRNA from 10 species
CCUGGGAGCUCUCUGUUGCCUUAGACCCUGAGAGAGCGGCUACUGUCGGGCUCCUUCGCUUCAAUAUUCUGCCUGGCCACAGCCCUUUCAAAAGAAAAAGAAAGUCAAUAAAUCUCUCAAAAUAGGGUCCAUCCCGGGACCUGGCUGCCCUGCGCGCACAGACAGGAGAACAAAAGGGCCCGCCCGGUGGGAAAAUGGUUCCCCGAGGCCACCUCCCAGAGCUACGCUCCCAGUUUCGCGCCCGUCAGCCCUGCCCGCUGUAGGGGUGGAAGGCCGGGCUCUGGAACCCAGCCCCUGGCUCCAGGGAAACCACCGCCUGGACUGACCUGCCAAGAGGCCGUUUUCCCACAGAACAAGACGUAUACGUUCACAGCCACGUUAUUCACAACAGCCAGAAGGACCGUUGCCAGAUGAGUGAAUAAAACGUGGUCCAUCCACAUGAAGGGCUGUGACCCAGCCUGGAAGAGGAAGGAAAGUCAGACGCUUGCUGUGACACGGAUGAACCCUGAGGACACUGUGCCGAGGGAAAUAACCGGACACAUAAGGGCAAAUCCUGCUGAUUCCACUCGUACGCGGUCCCUGGGUUGUCAGCUUCAUAGAGGCAGAAACAGAACGGUGGGUGCUGGGGGAGGGGGACUGGGAAGUUCGUGUUUAAUGGGGACAGAGUUUCGGCUCGGGAAGAUAAAACAUCUGGAAAUUGACAGUUACAGUUAAUAUGAAUGUAUUUCAUGCCACCAAGCUGUAGAUUCAAAAACAGUUAAGACGGUAGGGUUUGUUAUAUAUAUAUACACAUAUUACACAAGUUAAAAAGUAAUUUUUACAACACAUACAACAUGACCCCAGCGAUGUGAGGACACACAUAAACAGACGUGUUUGUACGCACAGAGAGACACACACAGACAUGUGGCUUAAAAUUCUGAAAGAAAUGCCCGGAAGGCUGACGUGGUCUUUGGGUGGGGAGAUAGCGCAGCCCAGAGAUAAGACCCCUCCCCCAUGGCGUUGUUUCCCUGCUGGAGACUUGCUGUGAUUUCCAAGUUUUCUAAAAGGGGCAGGCAGUCCUCUCACAGUGGACUGAAGUUAUGAAAUGUGCUUCUUUCCCUGCCCGUCCCACUUGGCCUUUCGGC